rnacentral:misc_RNA from 1 species
GCGGCUUCAGUCCACGUUAAAUUCCAAAGAAGAUUGGCACAAAAGGAUAAUUGAACAUUGCAUUAAAAAGAGACUCAUGUGGAAUACUUGCUUUGCUCGUAAAGUGUGUAAAGAAGCUGAAUACUAUGAAGACAUGUUGCGGUAUCUCCGAAGGAACUUGGCGCUUUUUCCAUAUCACCUAGCGGAGUAUGUUUGCCGUGUCAUGAGGGUGACUCCUUUCAGAUACUACUGCGACAUGAUUUUUGAAGUCAUGAAAAACGAGCAACCCUAUGACAGCAUCCCAAAUUUUAGUGCUGCAGAUGCCUUACGGCUUACCGGAAUUGGAAGAAAUGAAUUUAUUGACAUCAUG